GCCUGUCAUCAGAUCGCCCGGAACGUGCCCGAUCUCAUAAUCUCUCGGAAGCUACGCAGGUCUGAGCCUGGAUGGUGAUUGGAUGGGCGACCACCGUGCAUAACACAGGUGCUAUAGGCU
rnacentral:rRNA from 1 species